AAGUCAUCUGAGCUAUAAGGUCAAGUGGGCUUUUCUGAUCAACACUUGUCUGCUGUACAUCUGUCUGUAAACUUAUUUUCAACGUCUCAACAAAACUAAGUCAAGUACCGUUAACAGAUUAAAAAUAAUUUAAGUGAAGGGCCUCACCACCUUCUAAGGUUAGAUAAUCAAGAAAUGAAAAAAAAAUAGGCUGGGGUUAUUUAAGAAUUUAAGAUUUACUGAGAUAUAAAUGAGGGAAACUCUACAAGUGUUGUGAAACCUUCCUGACAUGUUGUAAAUUGUUUGAAGUCUGACUCAAGGGGAUAGGAUAGGGACAUUGGUGUCUGGGAAGGACAAACACAACAGACCAAUGGACCUGCUUAUAUGAACCAGUGGGCCAGUUUCAACCAAGCUUGCCACAAAGCAUCCUUAGGGUGGCAGUUACUUGAGAUGUUCUGCUGAUUGAUGAGGAUAAUUUCCCUGAGACUCUAACAUUUUGUAGGACUUGGAUAGCUCUAUUGCUGUAGAAAAUGUCAGGACUGUGAAGUGUUGUGAUGGUAUUAAUGGUAAACAGAAGACUGUCACCUUGAAUCUGAAGAUCUGUGAUGAAGACCGGACGUUUGGGGUCACUCUCUGUUACAGAACUACAAAACUAACAGUGUAAUGCUCAACCACAAAGAGAUUGUCUCUGAUGUCCACACAUAAACCUAAUGGAAGUUCUAAAUCACAGUGAAUGUAACGGAGGAACUGUCCGUCCUGAUCUAGGAUGUGGAUACGGUAAUUGUCGCAGUCUGAUAUUAGGAUGUGACCCUGGCUGUCUGUAGUGAUGCAGCGUGGAUCAAAUGAUUGCUUGGUAUUAGAGGGAUGACCAGUGUAUCUAAAUCGGAGUUUUCCCGACUGAUUGACCACCACUACUGCUCUAGCUGACCAGUCAGCCACACAGAUAUCCAGGUUCCUGUUCUCACUAAUGUAUUUAUAAUAACCAGAUUUAUAGAGAGGACGACCCUGAUCAUCAAACUGAAUGCUUUGUUUCUUUGUGGAGCCGGAGUAACGCACGACUUUGGAUUGUGUUUCAUCAUCACUGAUCAUGGUAACCAGGAGAUCAUCAGAGGCGGUACUGCAGACAGAGAGAGGUCUCCACCCCUGUAGUGUGAUCACGAUCGAGAUGAGUGGAACAAUGAACCUCCAGAUGCCUAUGUACACGUGUAUAAUAUUAUGAUUAAACUUCUGAUGCACUCGUGCAUGCGAGCUUAUCUAA